GUGGGGAAUAUUGGACAAUGGGCGAAAGCCUGAUCCAGCAAUGCCGCGUGAGUGAAGAAGGCCUUAGGGUUGUAAAGCUCUUUUACCCGGGAAGAUAAUGACUGUACCGGGAGAAUAAGCCCCGGCUAACUCCGUGCCAGCAGCCGCGGUAAUACGGAGGGGGCUAGCGUUGUUCGGAAUUACUGGGCGUAAAGCGUACGUAGGCGGCUUUGUAAGUUAGAGGUGAAAGCCCAGGGUUCAACCCUGGAACUGCCUUUAAGACUGCAAGGCUUGAACACGGGAGAGGUGAGUGGAAUUCCGAGUGUAGAGGUGAAAUUCGUAGAUAUUCGGAAGAACACCAGUGGCGAAGGCGGCUCACUGGACCGUUGUUGACGCUGAGGUACGAAAGCGUGGGGAGCAAACAGG
rnacentral:rRNA from 1 species